GAUAAACGCUGGCGGCGCACAUAAGACAUGCAAGUUGAACGGACUUAAUCGAAAUAUUUAUAUUUUGAAGCGGUUAGUGGCGGACUGGUGAGUAACGCGUAAGGAACCUGCCUAUUAGAGGGGAAUAACAGUGAGAAAUCAUUGCUAAUACCGCAUAUGCCAUAGAUAUCACAUGAUAACAGUGGGAAAGGAGCAAUCCGCUAAUAGAUGGCCUUGCGUCUGAUUAGAUAGUUGGUGGGGUAACGGCCUACCAAGUCGACGAUCAGUAGCCGGACUGAGAGGUUGAACGGCCACAUUGGGACUGAGCUACGGCCCAGACUCCUACGGGAGGCAGCAGUCGGGAAUAUUGCGCAAUGGAGGAAACUCUGACGCAGUGACGCCGCGUAUAGGAAGAAGGUUUUCGGAUUGUAAACUAUUGUCGUUAGGGAAGAGAAAGGACAGUACCUAAGGAGGAAGCUCCGGCUAACUACGUG
rnacentral:rRNA from 1 species